rnacentral:rRNA from 1 species
GUGUCAGCAGCCGCGGUAAUACAGAGGUCUCAAGCGUUGCGCGGAAUUACUGGGCUUAAAGGGUGCGUAGGCGGACCAGCAAGUGUCUUGUGAAAGCCCACGGCUUAACCGUGGAAUUGCUUGGCAGACUGCUGGUCUUGAGGUCGGUAGGGGCUGCCGGAACAGUAGGUGGAGCGGUGAAAUGCGUAGAUAUCUACUGGAACACCCAAGGCGAAGGCAGGCAGCUGGGCCGAUUCUGACGCUGAGGCACGAAAGCGUGGGUAGCGAACGGGAUUAGAUACCCCGGUAGUCCACGCCCUAAACGAUGCGCACUAGAUCGUGGAGGUUCUGACAUCGACGCGAUCGAAGCAAAAGUGAUAAGUGCGCCGCCUGGGGAGUACGGUCGCAAGACUAAAACUCAAAGGAAUUGACGGGGGCUCACACAAGCGGUGGAGCAUGUGGCUUAAUUCGAAGCAACGCGAAGAACCUUAUCCAGGGUUUGACAUGCACGGAUUAACCCCGAGAAACCGGGGCCACGCCCUUUGGGUGGAACGUGCACAGGUGCUGCAUGGCUGUCGUCAGCUCGUGCCGUGAGGUGUCGGGUUAAGUCCCUCAACGAGCGAAACCCCUGCCGCUAGUUGCCAGCGAGUCAUGUCGGGGACUCUAGCGGGACUGCCGGUGUCAAACCGGAGGAAGGUGGGGACGACGUCAAGUCCUCAUGGCCUUUAUGCCCUGGGCUGCACACGUGCUACAAUGGCGCGUACAGAGCGACGCAAUACCGCAAGGUGGAGCAAAUCGCAGAAAGCGCGCCCCAGUUCAGAUUGUGGUCUGCAACUCGACCACAUGAAGGUGGAAUCGCUAGUAAUCGCGUAUCAGCUACGACGCGGUGAAUAAGUUCCUGAGCCUUGCACACACCGCCCGUC